UACGUAGGUGGCAAGCGUUGUCCGGAUUUAUUGGGUUUAAAGGGUGCGUAGGCGGCCCUGUAAGUCAGUGCUGAAAUAUCCCGGCUUAACCGGGAGGGUGGCAUUGAUACUGCAGGGCUUGAGUGAAGUCGAGGUAGGCGGAAUUGACGGUGUAGCGGUGAAAUGCGCAGAUAUCAGGAAGAACACCCGUGGCGAAGGCGGUUCUCUGGGACGGUACUGACGCUGAGACGCGAAAGCGUGGGGAGCGAACAGG
rnacentral:rRNA from 1 species